GGGCCCUUAGCUCAGUUGGUUAGAGCAGCGGACUCAUAAUCCGUUGGUCGAAGGUUCAAGUCCUUCAGGGCCCA
rnacentral:tRNA from 1 species